GUUCUCGCUUCGGGAGCACAUGUGUUAACAUUGGAACGAUACAGAGAAGAUUAGCACGGCCCUCGUGAAAUGACAUACAAAUUCAUGAAACAGUCCAUACUUUU